UACCAUUUCACCACAGAUCUCCAUGGAGAA
rnacentral:piRNA from 1 species